AAGAAAAUGAUUAGAGCAGAUGUGUCCAAACGUUUUUCACAGAGAGCCACAUACAGACAAAUAUACGAAUGGCUGGGCCACUCCCUAGAGGUGAGGUAUAUUGCCUCAUAAGGUCAGUUAUAUGUAACCUCAGAGUGAUUAUAAUAAGGGGAAAUGUGAAGGGUAUAUUCCAAGCUUGUUAUGCAAAUAAGUAAUUGGGCCUUUUUUCUUAUCAGCUAAGAUUUGUUAGAAAAUGUUCCCAACUUUAAUUGAC